GCUUUGGAAGACACCCUGAAGUAUAGGUGAGAAGCUCUUUGUUUGAAACAUUAACAACCACCACCGCCCUAGACAAGCAAAUGAAGCAUAGUUAUUUUUUAAAGAACACAAAUUAAGUGUUCAAACUGCACUUUCCCCUUGAAUUAUGUAACUCACAAAGAAAAAUUUGAAAGGAUUGAGAAAGCACCAUCAAAACAAAAUCGAG
ensembl:misc_RNA